GGACACAGUAAGAAUCAACCAUCUGAAAGCCAGGAUGAAAGCUCUCCUCACAAACUGAACCCUACUUGAAAAUCUUAGACUUCCAGCCGCCAGAACCGUGAGAAAUACAUUUCUGCUGUUUAAGUCACCCAGUCUGUGGUAUUUUGUUAUGGCAGCUGAGCAGACUUAGACAUCCUUUGACCCUGUCUGAAGAACUCCACUCCUAAACCCUUAGGUUAGAUCUUGACACAACCCCUUAUCCUCUGCUCCAAUUCACUGUGGGACAGGAUCUGAGGAGUGGGAAUGGCUGGGAAGUGUUAAUAGGUAGUGAAUAGAAACUUCACACCAGGAAGGCAGCAUGAUAUAGUAGAAACAUCAAGGACUCUGCUACCAGGCUGACCUAGGUUCAAAUCAAGGCUGUCCCCUGGAUUUACUCAAUGCCCUGUUAAUUCUCCAAGUACCUCAGUUUUACCACCUGUAAAAUGGGAGACACUAAUCCCCCCAAAGUUUGUUCUUCAGAAUAACUGAGGAGAUAAUGUGUAAAGCACACAGUGAAUAGUAGGUUCUCCAUGAGGGAUUUUUACUACUAUGCGGGUAGGGCAACAAAUGGCCCAGACAAAAGUUCGCUUGGUUGUCCCAGUGCUGGUGGGAGGUAAGGGUUGCUCCCUUAAAUACUGUCAGUUUUUUAGGUAGUUCUAAUCUGAGAUCAGACAAUGAUGAGCAGAAAAGUUUCUUCAGGAGGACAAGCUGCAUCCCUACCUGGAAACGAUAAAAGGUGCCAUCGUCCUUCAUGAACCUGCUCUUCUCCUCUGGAAGGAGCGUACACUUGUAACUGGGAGAAUCAGAAUGAAUGGAAUUGUAUUUUACUUGCUUAGUGGUGACCAGUUGACUUUUGAAGUCUAUAUGCUUCAAGAACCAUGGGUCCAGCAGAAAAGGGAAGUUUCAUCACCUGCAACUGCUCCUUCUCCAGGGAAGGAAGAGUACAAUCCAGUAAGAAGGGGACUUUCAUGUCACCAAUCUAGGAGCUAGAAGUCUCACUUCAUUCUUCAAAAGACUUUCGCUUGGAGAUGUGGCAGAUGGGAAGGAAGAAGAGGUGUUGGAUACCCACCUUCCCAGGGCUUUUGUUUGGCUCAUUUCUGCUGGUGAAUUGUUCUUAACUUCUCCUGCUCAUCUACUUCUCAGAAGCCCAGACAGGUCCCAACACCUUCAUGUCCUCCCAAGGGCAUCAAAGUAUAAUAGACCGUCAUAGAUAAGACUCUUAUCAUUCGGGACCUUUCACAGAAGCUUCUCGUACCAGCACCAGUGGAUUCCUGAAGCCUGUUCUACCACUAGGGGGUUCAGGGUUCUCUGAAUAUACCAUUACUGCUGCUACUAUCACCACUGAUGAUAACGAUAAAAUACUUGUCAGAAAUAGGAUGACUGUUGUAGAAGGGCAAAGAAAACAGUGCUCUUGGAAGAGAAGAGACCACCACGAAGAAGGGUGACUCUACAUACAUGUAAAUGAACUGGUAGAGACUUAUUCAGUCCAGUUUUCACAAGUGGACCAUCAGAAGUCCAGGCUGUGUAAGGCAAACACGUAGGGUAGUUGAUUUGGUUUUUUUUCCUUAAAAGGAUUAGCAUUCAUAGUUUCCCCCCGAGGAUUAAGAACUUGACUAGAAUUAAGAAUUUCCACUACUCAUGAAAGUGGCCAUUAAUCAUGAUGGGGAAAAAGGCUAGUGUUCCGUUCAUGACCUGCUUUUCUGGCACUCAGAUUUCUGGCGCCUAUGUUUAAUUGAACUCUAUGUAAGUUGUAUUGUUUCAUAGUCAAUAGUCUAUUAGGAGCAUCAGAUUAAAAUAUAGGAAUGACCGAGCUGACAUACUGACCCCGGCAAGGAAUCACAGCUGAAGGUCAGACACCUAGAAUGGGCACUUGAAAAAAAUCUUUAAAAAGCAUAGCAAUUGAAGGGCAUUCAAUUUGAGGCAAAUAGGUCUAAUCCCCAAGAACAUCAGAAUACAUUAGUGGAUGUCUGUAAAUAUGACCUUCAGGCAGCAAGAAUACUUAGUUAAGAUGGGGAGUACAUAAUAAAUUCAGAAAAGUUUUCUCAUCUAGAAUUUUCAUUUUACUCUGGAACCCUGCAUUUUCUAAUUCUGCUAUGAAAAUAAAUUUUACUGCUUAUUUGCUGGUGGGAGGACAGAUUUGGAAACCGUUUUACUGGCCAGGGUUUGCUGUUGCUUUCCUGGUGAGGUAAUUGCAUUGCACAAUUAAAGUUGAAAAAAAAAUCA